rnacentral:miRNA from 1 species
UACAGUGAUCGGGUUAUGA